AAGAGAUCCAUCCUACAGCAAUGUUCAGAUACCCAAUUCUUUCUCCUCCAAAGAAUUGCUUCCCUUUUGCUCUCCCUCUAUCUUUUGGAGCGCUUCAGUGGUCAAUUUUAUCGCUCUUUCUUUUUCAUCACCCAAGAAGCACAGGGCAUUCUAUGCAGCUUCCAUAAUCUUCGAGAAAAGGUAAUUAAGUAAUUAAAGAAAUGGAAUUUGGUUAUAAAUAUUUAAGCUAGCAAUUAACAAUAAUCACCUUCUCUUCCGCAAACUCAGCCCAGAAUCGGGCCUGGCCUCUUUCGCGAGGAUCUUGAGGCAGUAAUGGAUACUAGUACUUCCAUGUUUCGUCGAUGUACUCAAGAAUGACGAAGUACUCGAUUUCUUCCUGCGAACAAGCACCGGAACCUUCUUAUGGACAGUAUUUAAUUGAAUAAGCAAAGAUCUCUUGUUAAAGACGUCUUGUUCCAUAUGCACUCAUAAUCAAGACUCUUGAGUCUCAGAGCCCACUCUACUUUGCGUACAAAUGGGCUAACCGAUAGCCCCAAAAGCUCCACCAGGACCACCACCUCUUUGCUCGCCAUGAGAGACUCAGCUAUUUUUGUCUGAGCUGAUGAGUGAGGAAAACUAGCUAGUUCAGUGCUGUUUGUAUACGUCCUCCGUCACCUGAGAAACUCGGUGGAUGGAUGUGGGUGUUGACUAAAACCUUCAGCCGCAAAUAUGACUGCUAGCCCAAAUUAGGAUUAUCCAGCCAAACUCCUUCCACUGCAGCCCAACCUAACCAAAAUCUCAUAUUCUUUUAUUUUUUGUGGGGAAAAG
rnacentral:misc_RNA from 1 species